CAAGGAAUUAAGAGUUUAUGGGGAAUACCUUGGCAUUUAGAAGCGAUGAAGGACGUGGUUACCGGCGAAACGCUUCGGGGAGUUGGAAACAAGCUAUGAUCCGGAGGUCUCCGAAUGAGGAAACUUUUUAUACUACUUAUUGAAUUCAUAGAUAAGCAAGAGCGAACCUAGGGAACUGAAACAUCUUAGUACCUAGAGGAAAAGAAAGUAAAAAACGAUUCCCUUAGUAGCGGCGAGCGAAACGGGAGAAGCCUAAACUUAAUAGUUAAUAUUAAGGGUAGUGGGACAAUUGGUAAUCGAUUAGGACAAUUAGACGAAUAAGUUGGAAUGCUUGACCAAAGAAAGUGAUAGUCUUGUAGUCGAAAAUUGAAAUAAUCAAAUUGAAUCCCAAGUAGCAUGGAGCACGUGAAAUUCCGUGUGAAUCUGCGAGGACCACCUCGUAAGGCUAAAUAUUCCUAAAUGACCGAUAGUGAAACAGUACCGUGAGGGAAAGGUGAAAAGAACCCCGGGAGGGGAGUGAAAAGAACAUGAAACCAUAAACUUACAAUCAGUAGGAGGACGACUAAAACGUCUGACUGCGUGCCUGUUGAAGAAUGAGCCGGCGACUUAUAGGUAGUGGCAGGUUAAAGCAGAGAAUGCUGGAGCCAUAGUGAAAGCGAGCCUGAAUAGGGCAUAUGUCACUGGUUAUAGACCCGAACCCGGAUGAUCUAACCAUGGUCAGGUUGAAGCUUAGGUAACACUAAGUGGAGGACCGAACCGACUGAUGUUGAAAAAUCAGCGGAUGAAAUGUGGUUAGGGGUGAAAUGCCAAUCGAAUUCGGAGCUAGCUGGUUCUCCCCGAAAUGCGUUUUGGCGCAGCGAUAAAUAUUAAAACUUAGGGGUAAAGCACUGUUACGUAUGCGGGCUGGUAAUUCGGUACCAAAUCGUUGCAAACUAAGAAUACUAAGUGUAAAGUUUAUCAGUGAGACUGUGGGGGAUAAGCUCCAUUGUCAAGAGGGAAACAGCCCAGAGCACCAGUUAAGGCCCCUAAAUAAUUACUAAGUGAUAAAGGAGGUGGGAGUGCUAGAACAAUCAGGAGGUUUGCUUAGAAGCAGCAAUCCUUUAAAGAGUGCGUAAUAGCUCACUGAUCGAGUAAACCUGCGCCGAAAAUGUACGGGACUAAGUAAUUUGCCGAAACUGUGCGAUAUAUUGAAAAUAUAUCGGUAGGGGAGCGUUCUGUUGUAGGUUGAAGUAUUAGCGUAAGCGGAUAUGGACGAAGCAGAAGUGAGAAUGUCGGCUUGAGUAACGAAAAUAUAGGUGAGAAUCCUAUACCCCGAAAACCCAAGGUUUCCUCCGGAAGGCUCGUCCGCGGAGGGUAAGUCAGGACCUAAGGCGAGGCUGACAAGCGUAGUCGAUGGACAACGGGUUAAUAUUCCCGUACCAUUAUUUAUUGAUAACGAGGGACGGAGAAGGCUAAGCUGGCCGGAUGUUGGUUACCGGUUUAAACGUUCGAGAUGAUGAGAAACGGAGAAAACGUUUUGAGUUGAGGCGUGAUGACGAAAUGCUACGGCAUUGAAGCAGUCUAUGUCAGACUUCCAAGAAAAGCUCGCACUGUCAUAAAUAAAUAAUGCCUGUACCAUAACCGACACAGGUGGGUAGGUAGAGUAUACUAAGGGGCGCGAGAUAACUCUCUCUAAGGAACUCGGCAAAAUGACUCCGUAACUUCGGGAGAAGGAGUGCCUUAUUUUUAAGGUUGCAAUAACAAGAUCCAAGCAACUGUUUACCAAAAACACAGGUCUCCGCUAAGUCGUAAGACGAUGUAUGGGGGCUGACGCCUGCCCAGUGCCAGAAGGUUAAAGAAGUUGGUUAGCAUUUGCGAAGCUGAUAACUGAAGCCCUGGUGAACGGCGGCCGUAACUAUAACGGUCCUAAGGUAGCGAAAUUCCUUGUCGGGUAAGUUCCGACCCGCACGAAAGGCGUAAUGAUUUGGAUACUGUCUCGGAGAGGGGCUCGGUGAAAUAGACUUGUCUGUGAAGAUGCGGACUACCUGCACCUGGACAGAAAGACCCUAUGAAGCUUUACUGUAACUUGAAAUUGAAAUUGGACUUUAUUUGCGCAGUAUAGGUGGGAGGCGUUGAGUUUAUUCUUGCGGGAAUUUAGGAGCCAUCAGUGAGAUACCACUCUGGUAAUGUUAGAUUUCUAACUUUGGAUCAUCAUCUGGUCAAAGAACAGUUUCAGGCGGGCAGUUUGACUGGGGCGGUCGCCUCCUAAAGAGUAACGGAGGCGUACAAAGGUAAAUUUGGGUUGAACUAUAACAACUCUAAAGCAUAAUAGUAGAUAUUUGCCUGACUGUAAGAUUGACAAAUCAAGCAGGGACGAAAGUCGGUUAUAGUGAUCCGAUGAUUCUGAGUGGAAAUGGUCAUCGCUCAACGAAUAAAAGGUACGCCGGGGAUAACAGGCUAAUCACCCUCUAGAGACCCUAUCGACGGGGUGGUUUGGCACCUCGAUGUUGGAUUAUCGCAUCCUGGAGCUGUAGGUGGUUCCAAGGGUUUGGCUGUUCGCCAAUGAAGGCGGUACAUGAUCUGAGUUUAGAACGUUGCGAAACAGUUUGGUCCCUAUCUACCGCAAGUGUAAAAAAUUGAGAGGAGUAAACUUUAGUACGAGAGGACCGAGAAAAGUAAAUCCAUGGUGAAUCGAUUGUUAUACCAAUAGCAUAGUCGAGUAGCUACAUUUAUAAUAAAUAAUCACUGAACGCAUCUAAGUGAGAAAUUAACCUCAAUACAAAUUUUUUUUAAAAUGUAAUAGAUCAUUACAUAGAUAGGCUUGGUGUGUAAGGAUUGUAAGAUCUUUAGCUAACAAGUACUAAAU
rnacentral:rRNA from 15 species